rnacentral:rRNA from 1 species
UACGGGGGGGCGAAGCAGUUGUUCGGUGAAUACUGGGCGUAAAGGGCGCGUAGCGGCCUGCUAAGUCGGAUGUGAAAUCCCGUCGGCUCAACCGAGGAACUGCAUCCGAUACUGGCCGGGCUUGAAUCCGGGAGAGGGAUGUGGAAUUCCAGGAUGUAGCGGUGAAAUGCGUAGAUAGUGACAUAGAACACCAAUUGCGAAGGCGCUGACUACAGGGAUAUUGACACUGGAGGCAACGGAAAGCGUGGGGAUCAAACAGG